UUUACGCUGUGUUGGGAAUACUUAUGUGUGUACGUACAACUGCUGUAAGGAUUUAAGUUAGUUAAGUCGAGUCUUUAUAAGUAUUUUGGGAUAGAUCUGCUUAUGCAUGACAGAUUUUUAAUAGCUUUUCCACCAUUUCAUGCAAAACAACAAUACAAUGGAAUGCAAAAACUCGUAAAUCACUCAGUUUGACAAGUUUAUGUUCAUACAAUUUUGAAAAAUACAUUCUUCAAUUUGUAUUGUUAAAUGCAUGUAUAAAUUAUGCCUGCAAUUUCCUUGAAUUUAUUAGUAAUUUGUAAAAUUCAGAUGCAGCCAUUUCACAACGAUCUACAAAACAAUUUCAUUAAAUUACAACCUCCCACAAUUCUACAAGCGGCGUCAUCCUUGGAUUUUUAAGAUUUUUAAAUCAUUUUUGUAUUUGCUACUUUUUUCUGUAAAUCUGUAAGUUAUUUGUCUUUCUUUAAAUGUGUACAGAUUAAUUUAAGUGUUUCGCUCCCUACAAUAAGAUCUUGAAUUUUGUCUUUUAUAAAUUUCUUGAAAA